rnacentral:rRNA from 1 species
GACGAACCGUCCUAACGUUGUUCGGAAUCACUGGGCUUAAAGGGCGCGUAGGCGGUAUCGCAAGUCCGGGGUGAAAUCUUUCGGCUUAACCGGAAAAGUGCCUUGGAUACUGCGAUGCUGGAGGGAGGUAGGGGCACGUGGAACUUCUGGUGGAGCGGUGAAAUGCGUUGAUAUCAGAAGGAACGCCGGUGGCGAAAGCGACGUGCUGGCCCUCUUCUGACGCUGAGGCGUGAAAGCCAGGGGAGCAAACGGG